UUUACUCUGUGAAGGAUUUUUAAUACGCAUGCUAUUUAUAUUUACACAUAAUUAGGAGAAUCAAAGGCAUACCUCUUGAAGCGUGAUUAAGCCUUUGAUGCGGAAAACCUCCUGCCGUUCCUUUAACCCAACAGCGUCUCCGAACUAAACGUAGCACUAAUUCACAGUACGUAACAAUUAGGGUUUUGGUCUCGAUAUUGGAAGCUUUGUAUCUUUGGCCAACUCAAUAAUAUUGCGCACAUCUUGAUCGACUGAGGGAUGUGGGUAUUUAAUACGUGAGUGGUUAAACCACUCCCCAACACGUCCUCCACGUUCAGUCAAUCCACGUUCACAUUAAUGAACUGCAAUUGACCUUGUUAAUUGGGAACUUAAUUAAUGUAACUGGGUCGGACCCUCCAUGGGUGACCCAUUUGGAUACCCAAGAUCCAACAUCUCCCACUCGCCCAUGGCGGGGACGAUGUAUCCUCAUAUCUGCCAAAAACAGCUCAAACCAAAACAUGUAAAACCCCUAACUGCCGAACCGUGCAACCGCUGAGUUCACCUGCAAUGCGGGAUCUCUAUAUCAAACCUGUUAGGGCCAACAUAGAGACAUCUACCCUUUCAAAGAAAUAACACGGGAGCUCUCACGUCGAACUUAAUUAGUUCACAUAGAGGCUACAUCCCAUAAACUCAGAGUACCCCAGACACAUUUGAAUUUUCACUAGGUUAAGUAUCUUUAACCCCUCAGAGAGCCUUACUUAACCACCUUUGGGCCCAAGUCCAUUUCGUAUCUCACUUAUUACUAUAUCGCUAUCAAAACGCUAUAGUUGUCGACAAUAAGUGCAGAACGAGGUGAAAUCAAAUUGUCUUCCCUUUGCCCUAAUACUACUCAAAAAUGAAUCAACUGCUUUCCCAGAAUCGGUUCUUAUAGUCUCAUCAAUCCCGACCUUAGGAAUCGAAACCAAAGUAGCAACAUUAAUCCAUGUCUUUGCAGUAUAGUCAAAGAUCACAAAGAACACUUGACGUAGGAACAAAACUUGUCCUACAAGACUCACACGGUGAGGAAGCAGGGAUUCAUUCUCUCACCUCUUUUACAUGGUCGCUAAGCACAUGUAACUCGCUCACAACAUGCUAUUCUAUAGCCUUGUUGUGCGGACCUUAGAACAUUUCAAAUUGCUCGCUUAUCUAAGCGCCAUAUUUGAAACUUCGCAUCCGGUUAUCAUGUUACGACAGACAAUCUCAUCUACAUGAGCAUAUGUCCUAUGGUCGUGCCGUACGGAUCUUAGUUUAGUCGCUUCAUAAGCGCCUAACUCGAAUUUUUCAUAUUGCUCGCUUAUCUAAGCGCCAAACCUAAAAUUUCGUAUCCGGCUAUCAGUACAGGUUAAAAUAGAUGGUGGGGCAUACUAUAUUUGGUUAAUCCAAGUUAACCUCAUCUUGGCUCAUGCCAAGGCGACAUCAUGUUCAUUUUGCUCACUACUAAGCGCCAAUUGAUUGCUAUCAAAAGCAUCAAUAGCUCGCUACUCAAAGUGCCAAUAAAUGAACUGUCUCAACCUUGCUCGCUUUUCAAAGCGCCAAGGGUGAUUGCUCGUGUGAGUGAGCCAAUCAACCUGUUGACAUAUAUUUAAUGUGCGUGCAUAUCCAAUAUGCAUAAUAAACUGUGUGAACAUAUAAAAUUUAUCAUGUGCGCUAAAAUAACCAAACACAAGUGGAGAUAAAUGAAACUCGCAUAAAUGAUAAAUAUGUCGAAAUAACAAUGAAUAUCUCUAAUACAAGCCAAAUAAUGAGUGAUAUGCAAGGAAAUAAUAGAAAGUACAUCAAAUCCUACGAAUUCCUAAUGAACUAACAUGCCUAUAAAAGGCAUCUUUAGGGAUUGGCUUCGUCAAAGGAUCAACUACCAUAAGACCAGUGGGCAUGUAUUCCAAUAUCACCUCAUUAUUUGCUAUGAUAUCUCUGAUGAAGUUCAUCCUCAAGUCGAUGUGCUUCGUCCUCCCGUGAUACUUGGGGUCCUUAGUGUAAUCUAGGGCCGUUGUGCUAUCACAGUAAACAGUCACAGGAUCUGAAGCAUGAGAGACGACACCAAAAUCCUCGAAGAAUCUCCUCAGCCACAUGGCUUCCUGAACAGCUGACGUACAAGCCACAAACUCCGACUCCAUCGUAGAAAGAGCAACGCAAGUCUGUUUCUUGCUACACCAAGUGAUGGCACCACCAUGUAACACGAAUGCAUAUCUUGAGGUCGACUUGCGCAUCCCCUGGUUACCUCCCCAACUGGCAUCGGAGUAACCAAUUAAUCGCAGAUCCGGUCCUCCAUAGCAUAACAUGUAGUCCAAAGUACAUUUCAAAUAUCGCAAGAUCCUCUUGAUUGCCUUCCAAUGAGCAAUCCCAGGGUUUGACUGAUACCGACCGAGAUAACCGUCUGCAUAUGCUAUAUCAGGCCGAGUACACACAACUACAUACAUUAGCUUUCCUAUAGCAUUGGCAUACGGAUAAUGGGACAUCUUCUUAAUUUCCUCGGGAGAAGUAGGGCAUUGUUCGGGUCCAAUGGCGUCGCCUUUAGCGAUAGGAGUGUAUGGGUUUGCAGUUGUUUAACUGGAAUUGCUCAAGAACCUUCUUAAGGUAAGUCUCUUGAGACAAACCAAUAAGCUUUCUUGAGCGAUCUCUAAAGAUCUUAACUCCGAGAACAGAAGCUGCUUCCCCCAUGUCCUUCAUCUCAAAGUUAGAGGACAGCCACCCUUUGGUGGCGACAAUCAUCUCCUUAUCGUUCCCAGCUAGAAGGAUGUCAUCGACAUACAUAGAUAAGAUAAGGAAUUUAUCUUUGGACCGUUUGAUAUAUACACAAUAGUCUUUCUCGAUCAUCGUAAACCCAUCACUAAUGACGGCUCGAAGGAAUCUCAAAUACCAUUGUUUGGACGCCUGUUUCAAACCAUAGAUAGAACGUUUGAGCUUGCAUACUUUGCGCUCUUGUCCUUCCAUGACGAAACCCUCUGGCUGAUCCAUGCAUAUCUCCUCAGCUAAAUCUCCAUUGAGAAAAGCUGUCUUAACGUCCAUUUGAUAUAACUCCAAAUCUAAAUGCGCAACAAUCGCUAAGAUGAGGCGAAUUGAGGCAAACCUCACAACUGGUGAGAAGGUUUCCUCGUAAUCAAUUCCCUCUUGCUGGGUGUAGCCCUUGGCUACAAGACGAGCUUUGUACCUUUCAAUGGAACCAUCCGCCUUGCGUUUGAUUUUAAGGACCCACUUGUUCCCAAUAGCCUUUCGCCCUGGUGGAAGGUCAACCAAGUCCCAGACUUGAUUAGUCCUCAUGGACUCCAUCUCUUCUUCCAUUGCAAUCAUCCACUUAUCUCUCAUAACAGAUGAUAGAGCAUCUCGAUAAGAUCGAGGUUCCUCAUCGUCUUGCGCAUCAGCUACAAAGGCAUUCCCCUCAAUCUCAAAAGGACGACGUGGAAUGUUACCCCUUUGACUUCUACGCACUUGAGGAACAUGAGACUAUUCAUUCGAUGGAUGAGAACUGCUCGAAGGCAUGUCACUCCCACUUUCUACAGGAGCCUGAGGAAUAACCUCUUCAGCUUUUACUGUAUGAGUUGGGGCGCCUAAAUCUUCUUCCAUCUCACAAAGGUUCAUCUCCUUGCUCACAUCACCUCUAUUAGGGAAAUCCAUCUCAAGAAAAUCCGCAUCUCGUGACUCUAUCUCAGAUACAGUCCCAUCAGGCUGCUCUCCUACAAACACAUAGCCCUUGGAGUGUUCAGAAUAUCUUACAAAAAUACACUUUUUACCCCUCGGGCCUAACUUCCCAUGCUGAUGAGAAGUGUUGUGCACGUAAGCUGCCGAUCCCCAAGGCCGCAUUCCGCCCAAUUCGGGCUUUCUGCCGGUCCACAUUUCAUAUGGGGUGGACUGAACUGAUUUUGAAGGCACACGAUUAAGUAUGUAUGUCGCAGUCAACAAUGCAUCACCCCAAUAGGAGAUAGGCAAAUUUGUUUGCGCCAUCAUAGACCUAACCAUGUCUAAUAAUGUUCGGUUCCUCCUCUCCGCCACACCGUUUUGUUGCGGAGUUGUCAGUUGCCUGAUUAUCCCUUUUUCCUCACAAAAUUCUUUAAACUGAUAGGACAGAUACUCGCGGCCUCGGUCAGUUCGAAGUGCCUUAACACUUUUAUCUAACUGAUUCUCGACCUCAAUCAAAUAACGUCUAAAGCAAUCUAAUGCCUCAGACUUAUGCGAGAUCAAGAAAGUGUACCCGAAGCGCGUAUAGUCAUCUAUCAUUGUGAGAAAAUAGGAAAGUCCAUGCCUUUCUUUUACGUUCAUAGGGCCACAGAUAUCUGAGUGAAUAAGUUGCAAUGGUGUUUCUGCCCUAGUGGCUUUACCGAAUGGUUUUCUAGUUGAUUUUCCUGCCAAACAAUGUUCACAUGUGGGUAGAUUGACCUUAGCGAGUGGGCCUAAAAGACCUGCUCGAGCUAACCUGGCCAUUCUAUCUUGUCCAAUAUGGCCUAAUCUAGCAUGCCAUUGAAUUGAACCAUCAUGAUCAUUUUCAACAAGUAAGGAAUAAUAAUCACUACUAUUACUGCUAGAAUCAAUAGUAUCCAAAAUCAUAAAACCAUUCAUCAUAAAACCAUGUCCAAAAACAUUCGUCCCAUGCGAAAUUAUUACAGAAUUAUUCUCAAAACUAACUGAAUAGCCUAAACGAAGUACUGAUAAAACAGAAAAUAAAUUCUGCCGGACAUCCGGCGCAUAAAGUACAUCAUAAAGGAUCAAUGCUGAGCAUCCUCGCAUUUCCAGUUUGUAAGUGCCAAUGCCUAGCACGUCCACACUGGAAUCGUUCCCCAUGUAUACUUUUCUGCCAGCCGGAACUCGGCGGUAUUCCACGUAUCCACUCCGAUCUCUAGCUAUGUGGUCCGUUGCUCCGGAGUCUACAAUCCACAUAUGGAGAGAAUGAGCAACAAAAACAGUACUUGAUACUAAGCACAUAGAUAGAUUAGGACUAGGAAUUACCUUCUUCGGCUCAGUGCACUCACGAGCGAAGUGUCCCGCCUUGCCACAGUUGUAGCAUGUCAUCUUGGCUUUGUCCUUUUUACCAGAACCUCGUUUGCCUCUCUUACGCUUGACAGCACCCCCACUCGCAGCCCCUUUAGGCGCAGCAGGAUGAGCAGGUUUCUUCCCCUUCUUAGGUGUGAACCCUCUACGAGAGUUUGAUUAAGCCACAUAUGCCCUGGAGGUCUUGACAACAUCAAGGCGCUCAGCCUCGAGCUCCAAGUGACGACGAAUAUCAUCAAAGGUCUUGAUAUUCUCGUUAUGAGUCAUGUUGACCCGCAUAUGUUCCCAAUUAUCGGGAAGGGAGCGAACCACCGUUGAAAUCUGCUGUUCGUCUGACAAUUGAGUACCUCCGGAUUUCAACUCCCGGAUCAUAUUAGCCAUGAUUCGAAGGUGUUGUUUCAUAGUGUGGCCAAUUCCUUCAUCCUUGUCAACGAGGUGCCACCAAACUUAGUUUUGAGAGCCUCCCAAAUAUCGUGUGCAGUAGAGUAUUGUUCAUACUCAAACAGAAAGUCAUUAUUCAUGCAGCUCAACAACGUUAUGCGAGAGAUACGAUCUUUUUUGCGCCAACUUUCGAAGGCAGCAACCUUGAUCGGAUCCUUUGCAUUUUCAUCCUCUGGUUUAGCCAUUUUGGACAACAGAGUUUCUUCAACUUCUUGCUCCUCCAAAACCAUCCUGACUUUCCGGUGCCACACGUCAUAGUUAUCUCCUUCUAGUUUGUUUCCUUGGUUAAGGUCUGCGAUAAUGUGUUUUGAAGCCAUUUUCUGCUUUGAUUAAAAAAAGAGGAUUUAUUAGAGAUAUUCAAUGUUCACCACAGUCUAUAAGAUAUCUUUGCCGCAUGAAUCAAAUUAACAUAAAAAUAAUGAGACAUAAAUAUAGAAGGGAGACUUGGCUAAGCUUAGGAAUCACAAUCCAUAUAAAUGUCUAAUUAUUUAAAUUUAAUUUUUCGACGCACAAGACAUAUAAUUUAGGGAAUAAUUUAAUUAAAUUAUUACAACCUAAAUCACUCCCACUAGGAACAGGGGUAUACAUGUAUUUAUAGCAUGUUAAUUUAAUUCCAAGGACCAACAAUUAAUAUCCCAUAAAUAUUAACAAAGGAAUUAAACAAUAGGCUAUAUUACUCAAUUAAUAUACCAAGUAUACUAUAAAAACAUUAAAAUGCAUCCAAAAAAUUUUCAACAGUACAUUAACAUUAUAAAACAUUACUAUAAUUUUCUGGAAUAUAUUUUUGAUAAUUUUGCUAAUUAUCACAAUUAAUUAAUCAUGCAUAAAAAGAUGGAAAUUAACCAAAGAUAUCCAAAUCUGUUAAUUUCUUCCAUUUUUUUUAUAACAGUAGAUUAUCAUCAUUAAAAGACUACUGUGAUUUUCUGGAAUUUUCUGAUAAUCAUGCUAAUUAUCAAAAUUAAUAAGCUAUUGCACAAUUAAUUGGAAAUUAGCCAAAAAUAUACAAUACAGUUAUUUUCCCUCUGAAAAAUUCAUAACAGUAAAUUAACAUCAUCAUAUAGUCACUGUAACGUUUCUGGAAUUUUCGUGAUAUGUUUGCUAAUUUUCAUAAUUAAUAAACCAUUAAUUAUUAGGUAGAAAAUUAACCAAAAAUAUCAAAAACGGUUAAUAUAUCCAAAUUCCAGUAUCAUAAGUAAUAUGCCAAUAAUUAAUUUCUACUAAUUUUUCAGAAUUUAACAGUCACUGUUACUAUUUUUAAAUUAAUUUCCAUGUUAAAAACAAUUAAUAAAUUAUUUUCUGGAAAUUAAAUAUUAAAAAUCUGUCAAAACGGGUCAGAUCCGCGGGUCGGGCAGCAGGUCAUCUUCAACCUCCAGCCACCAAAAUUUACAGAAAUGCCAUUUCGCGACUAAAACUUUGAGAAGCCAUAUCUCACUUUAUAUAAUUCCGAUUUAGGUCCAUAAUAUAUCGUUGGAAAGCUUACAACGAGUACUACGCAUACAUACAAAAAUCAACCGAAUCGGACAAUCACAGAAAAAGUUAUGGCGGUUCAAAGAAGGUUGUUUGCAAACUAGAGUUUCAAAUUAAUUUUAAAUUAAUUAUCCAAUUAAAUCCAAAUUAUGCAGAUCAUAUACACUAUGUUUAGGCCAAGGUUUUCAAACCCGGACCGGACCGCCGGUCUAACCGGAAAAAACCGGACCCGAUUCACUCAACGGUCCGGUUUGGAUCACUAAACCACUUCUGCUCAAAAAUCGUUCAGAACCGGUGAACCGGCGAUUGAAUCGGUUGACCCAUUGAACCAGUGACCGGUUCACGGGUUUGACCGGUUCUCUCCUUAAAGAUUAAAAAAAAAAAAAUUACGGAUUUUAUUUUAUUUUAGCAAUUUAGUUGAGACUUUGUUUGGUAUUUUACAUAUUUUUGCAUUCAUUUAAUCAAACACUUGAACUUGUGGUUGAAUUUCGGAAUUUGAAUGUAUCUUAGAGAUGUUUAGUUUUUUUUUUGGUGGAUAAAUUGAUUAAUUUUACAUAUUUACUAAAUAUUAUAUACAAUAUAUAAUAAUAAUUAAUAUAAUUUAUUAUUUAUUAUUUAUUAUUUAUUACAUAUUAAUGACGUCACUGGGUCAAUAACGGUCCGACCACUGGUUGGGCCAGUGACCCAUCCACCCAGUAACUUUUCCGGUUCGAUGAUCGGUCCGGGUUUAAAAACCUUGGUUUAGGCUACAAUAUAUUGCAAUAUUAGCCCCUAACAUUUAGUGUAUCUAAGUUUGCCAUUAAUGAUGUUUUCAAGCUUUUUAAACAUACAAUCAUGGCAUAAAGUGUAAAUAUUUCAUACAUAGCAUACAUGGGAUCGUUAAACCUUGCUUUGAUACCAAUGAAGGGUUUUUAAUACGCAUGCUAUUCAUAUUUACACAUAAUUAGGAGAAUCAAAGGCAUACCUCUUGAAGCGUGAUUAAGCCUUUGAUGCGGAAAACCUCCUGCCGUUCCUUUAACCCAACAGCGUCUCCGAACUACGUUUGAGAACGGAGCACUAAUUCACAGUACGUAACAAUUAGGGUUUUGGUCUCGAUAUUGGAAGCUCUGUAUCUUUGGCCAACUCAAUAAUAUUGCGCACAUCUUGAUCGACUGAGGGAUGUGGGUAUUUAAUACGUGAGUGGUUAAACCACUCCCCAACACGUCCUCCACGUUCAGUCAAUCCACG
rnacentral:lncRNA from 1 species